rnacentral:rRNA from 1 species
AUUGAACGCUGGCGGCAUGCUUUACACAUGCAAGUCGAACGGUAACAGGGAAAAGCUUGCUUUUCUGCUGACGAGUGGCGAACGGGUGAGUAAUACAUCGGAACGUGCCCUGUAGUGGGGGAUAACUACUCGAAAGAGUGGCUAAUACCGCAUACAACCUGAGGGUAAAAGUGGGGGACCGCAAGGCCUCACGCUAUAGGAGCGGCCGAUGGAAGAUUAGGUAGUUGGUAGGGUAAAGGCCUACCAAGCCGACGAUCUUUAGCGGGUCUGAGAGGACGAUCCGCCACACUGGGACUGAGACACGGCCCAGACUCCUACGGGAGGCAGCAGUGGGGAAUUUUGGACAAUGGGGGCAACCCUGAUCCAGCAAUGCCGCGUGAGUGAAGAAGGCCUUCGGGUUGUAAAGCUCUUUUUGUAGAGGAUGAGGAAGGACGGGUACGUCUCAGAAUAAGUACUCGGCUAACUACGUGCCAGCAGCCGCGGUAAACCUGUAGUCGU